rnacentral:hammerhead_ribozyme from 1 species
ACACUGCUGACGAGUCCCAAACAGGACGAAACAGUUGUUCAGUGC